rnacentral:piRNA from 1 species
UGGCACCGUGAUGUUUUCUUA